rnacentral:piRNA from 1 species
UUAUACAACAUUUUCACGAAU